AGUGAACGCUGGCGGUAGGCCUAACACAUGCAAGUCGAACGGCAGCACAGUAAGAGCUUGCUCUUACGGGUGGCGAGUGGCGGACGGGUGAGGAAUACAUCGGAAUCUACUUUUUAGAGGGGGAUAACGUAGGGAAACUUACGCUAAUACCGCAUACGACCUACGGGUGAAAGCAGGGGAUCUUCGGACCUUGCGCGAUUGAAUGAGCCGAUGUCGGAUUAGCUAGUUGGCGGGGUAAAGGCCCACCAAGGCGACGAUCCGUAGCUGGUCUGAGAGGAUGACCAGCCACACUGGAACUGAGACACGGCCCAGACUCCUACGGGAGGCAGCAGUGGGGAAUAUUGGACAAUGGGCGCAAGCCUGAUCCAGCCAUACCGCGUGGGUGAAGAAGGCCUUCGGGUUGUAAAGCCCUUUUGUUGGGAAAGAAAAGCAGCAGGUUAAUACCCCGCUGUUCUGACGGUACCCAAAGAAUAAGCACCGGCUAACUUCGUG
rnacentral:rRNA from 1 species